CAGUCGCCGCGGGAAAACGAAGGGGGCUAGCGUUGCUCGGAAUGACUGGGCGUAAAGGGCGCGUAGGCGGCGAUCAAAGUCAGGCGUGAAAUUCCUGGGCUCAACCUGGGGGCUGCGCUUGAUACUUGGUUGCUUGAGUGGGGAAGAGGGUCGUGGAAUUCCCAGUGUAGAGGUGAAAUUCGUAGAUAUUGGGAAGAACACCGGUGGCGAAGGCGGCGACCUGGUCCUUGACUGACGCUGAGGCGCGAAAGCGUGGGGAGCAAACAGGAUUAGAUACCCGCGUAGUCCCUGUCUCUUAUAC
rnacentral:rRNA from 1 species